AUGCCCAGUUGCCAGGCAACGCUCGUGGGGAAGCCGGAUUUGCAGGGAGCCGCCUGCGUGGGGUGGGGCCCAGGAACUGUGCCCCCCGCGGGGCUGCUGGCCCGUGCACCUGCUGUCAGGGUGUCAGGUCCCCACCGUGCAGAAACGUAUGUCCGCACGUGGAGCGCGUUCCCAUCACCGUCACUGGGGGUCCCAGAUGUGAGCUGGGUCUUAACACAGAGACUGAGACCUUGGCGUCACCAGGCAAGGCGCAGAGGCGGGAGGGACGGGCCAUGGGGGUCCCGCUUGGAGGGCAGAGCAGGGGAGGCUGUGCUGGGGUGCCGCAGGUCCGCUCACCCGCCUCUCCUGUGGGAAGGUCUUCCUGCAGCCAGCCGUCUGCAGACCCCGGGCCCCCUCUCCAGGGGCAGCCUGCCUGCUGGGGGGCAGGGCACUCCGGGCCGCGUUCCCAUGGAAGGAGCGAGCAGUCCCCCGGGGCCGCUAAUUCAGGCCACAGGCAGCUGUGCAGUGGCGCUGAGGCAGUUAUUUCUGGCCCCGAGAAUUCCUGCCCAGAAGCCUGUCCCCACGGCCGGGCGGUCGUCUUCCCCAGGGGCCCCUCCUGGCUCUGGGCCCCCGCCCACACCUUUCCCUUGCGGAGUUUGGGGACCAAGACAGGCGGAGGUGUGGCUGGAAGGAGGCUGUACCUGGCAGGGCUGGUCCCUCCAGGCUUCGGUCCCAGACACAGCCAGCCUGAGAGGGCAGUUCCCGAGGCCUCAGCGGCUCCCAGCAGGAACCACGCCAGAGCCCAGAGCCAUGAGGAGGAGCUGUGGCCAGAGAGCUAGAGGAAGGGAGCGAAACGGGGCUGGGGGUCGGCUUCACUUUCAGACAGUGACACCCCUCGGGGAGGCUGCGGGCCCCCAGGGCACUUGUGCAUGCUGCCACCAAGUGGCUGAUGGGGUCUCCACGAGGCACUGGCUUUCCGAGGCGGUUGCUCGAAGUCACGGUGAUGGAGCUGAAGACAGGGCCCUUUUCCCCAGUUGCACCCUGAGAAAACCCCGACUCAAGCUCUUUAUUAAAGAGCUAAGCGGAGACGUUAGCACUUUUCCUAAUAGCACGGUUUUUAGCAGCGGGCACAAUGAGAGGGAGCUGUGGGCAUGUGCUCCGGCUCUGCGGCUCCGCGAGCAAGGGAGCGGGGCUCUUCCUCCCUGA
rnacentral:lncRNA from 1 species